AGCGAACGCUGGCGGCAGGCUUAACACAUGCAAGUCGAGCGGGCCCUUCGGGGUCAGCGGCGGACGGGUGAGUAACGCGUGGGAACGUGCCUUCUGGUCUGGAAUAACCCUGGGAAACUAGGGCUAAUACCGGAUACGCCCUUUUGGGGAAAGGUUUACUGCCGGAAGAUCGGCCCGCGUCUGAUUAGCUAGUUGGUGGGGUAACGGCCUACCAAGGCGACGAUCAGUAGCUGGUCUGAGAUGAUGAUCAGCCACACUGGGACUGAGACUCGGCCCAGACUCCUACGGGAGGCAGCAGUGGGGAAUAUUGGACAAUGGGCGCAAGCCUGCUCCAGCCAUGCCGCGUGAGUGAUGAAGGCCUUAGGGUUGUAAAGCUCUUUUAUCCGGGGCGAUAAUGACGGUACCGGAGGAAUACGCCCCGGCUAACUUCGUGCCAGCCGCCGCAGUAACAC
rnacentral:rRNA from 1 species